CGAUGAUCACUGGGUGUGGGGAUGAAUAGUCUCUGUGCCGAAGCAAAAGCGAUAAGUGAUCCGCCUGGGGAGUACGUACGCAAGUAUGAAACUCAAAGGAAUUGACGGGGACCCGCACAAGUGGUGGAGCAUGUGGUUUAAUUCGACGCAACGCGAGGAACCUUACCAGGUCUUGACAUACUCGGAAUCUUUUGGAAGCAAAGGAGUGCCUUCGGGAACCGAGAUACAGGUGGUGCAUGGCUGUCGUCAG
rnacentral:rRNA from 1 species